GUGCUCACUUCGGCAGUACCAUACUGAAAUGGGAAGGAUACACAAAAGAUUAACAUGGCCCCGGUGCACAUUCAUGAAACGUGCCAUAGUAAAGAGAGCCCUUCUCAC
rnacentral:snRNA from 1 species